rnacentral:rRNA from 1 species
CCUACGGGUGGCUGCAGUCGAGAAUCAUUCACAAUGGGGGAAACCCUGAUGGUGCGACGCCGCGUGGGGGAAUGAAGGUCUUCGGAUUGUAAACCCCUGUCAUGUGGGAGCAAAUUAAAAAGAUAGUACCACAAGAGGAAGAGACGGCUAACCCGGUGCCAGCAGCCGCGGUAAUACAGAGGUCUUAAGCGUUGUUCGGAAUCACUGGGCGUAAAGCGUGCGUAGGCUGUUUCGUAAGUCGUGUGUGAAAGGCGCGGGCUCAACCCGCGGGCGGCACAUGAUACUGCGAGACUAGAGUGAUGGAGGGGGAACCGGAAUUCUCGGUGUAGCAGUGAAAUGCGUAGAUAUCGGGAAGAACACUCGUGGCGAAGGCGGGUUCCUGGACAUUAACUGACGCUGAGGCACGAAGGCCAGGGGAGCGAAAGGGAUUAGAUACCCGUGUAGUC